rnacentral:rRNA from 1 species
GACGACGCUGGCGGCGUGCCUAACACAUGCAAGUCGAGCGGGGUUGAAGCGAGAGGUAACUCGAACUUCUACCUAGCGGCGGACGGGUGAGUAACGCGUGGGCAACCUGCCUCAAGGUCUGGGAUAACAGCCCGAAAGGGCUGCUAAUACUGGGUAUGCUUGUGGCCUCGCAUGGGGCUAUGAGCAAAGGGGAAACCCGCCUUGAGAUGGGCCCGCGUCCCAUCAGCUAGUUGGUGAGGUAACAGCUCACCAAGGCGACGACGGGUAGCCGGCCUGAGGGGGUGACCGGCCACACUGGGACUGAGACACGGCCCAGACUCCUACGGGGGGCAGCAGUGGGGGAUCUUGCACAAUGGGCGAAAGCCUGAUGCAGCGACGCCGCGUGAGCGAAGAAGGCCUUCGGGUUGUAAAGCUCUGUCUGGAGGGACGAAGGAAGUGACGGUACCUCCGGAGGAAGCCACGGCUAACUACGUG